UCAACUACCAUGCCCAGGAAGGCGGGAGCAUGAAGUGGAGUCGACUCUUUGCAGGAUUAAUCACCGGCCCUCGUCCCCCUGAAUCCUUCAUCGUUCAUUCCCUCUUUUCUUUUUGUGCGUCAUUUCCUCAUUAAUAUCCUGGGAGAGGAAAAGCCGACAAGGCCUUUGUAAACUCUUUUUUUUUUUUUUUUGCCCCGUUCAGCUCCACGUACAUGUUUGGAUUAUUUGAUUUAAAUGUUGAGUUUGAGAAGUACAUGUGACCUCGCAGUAGAAGAGUCGUUUCAAACUCUUGUGCAUUGCGAUUCAUUGCCUUGGAGAAUGGCAUCACGUUACAGCCACAAAUUGAGUUUACAUUGUGUUCGUGCUUGAUUACAUGGGCUUGUGCACUAAAUGACGAGCCUGCAGCGUCGCACUCUUUGUGCCUCAGCGGUGCUGUAUUUUUUUUUUCUGAAAAAGAAAAUUCAAGUGAAAUGUAAAAAAAACAGCUGUAAGUGGUUGAAACACUAUCAGAAUCACUAACCUACAUUUCCAAUCUAAAUUCAGUUUGUUCCAUGAAACUCUAGCCCCUUGUAACUCAAACUGAAUUAGCAAAGCAUCUGUUUCUUGAACAAUCAGUUUUCAAAUUUGUCCUCACAUUGAUGACGUUUUUUUUAAGCGAAACUCAACUUACUUUUAUUAAAAGAGAACAAUGUCCCCAAAAUGAUGCUCAUAAAAAAAUAAAACAUAAAACAUGACAAUCAAACAGCACAUAAUAUUCAACAGUGAAAGAGUGAAAAUGUUAAAUAAAAACAAAUGAGACAC